rnacentral:rRNA from 1 species
GACGUACGCUGGCGGCGUGCUUAACACAUGCAAGUCGAACGAUGAAGAAAAGAAUUGAAGCUUCGGCAGAAAUUCAUUUCGGAUUAGUGGCAGACGGGUGAGUAACGCGUGAGCAACCUACCUCUUACAAAGGGAUAGCCUCGGGAAACCGGGAUUAAUACCAUAUAACAUUGCGACGAAGCAUUUCGAUGCAAUCAAAGCUACGGCGGUAAGAGAUGGGCUCGCGUCCCAUUAACCAGAUGGUGAGGUAACGGCUCACCAUAGUAACGAUGGGUAACCGGCCUGAGAGGGUGAACGGUCACACUGGAACUGAGACACGGUCCAGACUCCUACGGGAGGCAGCAGUGGGGAAUAUUGCACAAUGGAGGGAACUCUGAUGCAGCGACGCCGCGUGAGUGAUGAAGGAAUUCGUUUCGUAAAACUCUGUUCUAUGGGAAGAAAAGGACUGUACCAUAGGAGAAAGCUCCGGCUAAAUACGUG